rnacentral:rRNA from 1 species
AGACCUCUGAUCAGGAAAGACUACCCGCUGAGUUUAAGCAUAUCACUAAGCGGAGGAGAAGAAACUAACCAGGAUUUCCCUAGUAACGGCGAGCGAACCGGAAAGAGCCCAGCUUGAAAAUCGCGG